CUUACUCCUGAUGUUAGAGGCGGACGGGUGAGUAACACGUGGGUAACCUGCCUGUAAGACUGGGAUAACUCCGGGAAACCGGGGCUAAUACCGGAUGGUUGUUUGAACCGCAUGGUUCAAACAUAAAAGGUGGCUUCGGCUACCACUUACAGAUGGACCCGCGGCGCAUUAGCUAGUUGGUGAGGUAACGGCUCACCAAGGCAACGAUGCGUAGCCGACCUGAGAGGGUGAUCGGCCACACUGGGACUGAGACACGGCCCAGACUCCUACGGGAGGCAGCAGUAGGGAAUCUUCCGCAAUGGACGAAAGUCUGACGGAGCAACGCCGCGUGAGUGAUGAAGGUUUUCGGAUCGUAAAGCUCUGUUGUUAGGGAAGAACAAGUACCGUUCGAAUAGGGCGGUACCUUGACGGUACCUAACCAGAAAGCCACGGCUAACUACGUGCCAGCAGCCGCGGUAAUACGUAGGUGGCAAGCGUUGUCCGGAAUUAUUGGGCGUAAAGGGCUCGCAGGCGGUUUCUUAAGUCUGAUGUGAAAGCCCCCGGCUCAACCGGGGAGGGUCAUUGGAAACUGGGGAACUUGAGUGCAGAAGAGGAGAGUGGAAUUCCACGUGUAGCGGUGAAAUGCGUAGAGAUGUGGAGGAACACCAGUGGCGAAGGCGACUCUCUGGUCUGUAACUGACGCUGAGGAGCGAAAGCGUGGGGAGCGAACAGGAUUAGAUACCCUGGUAGUCCACGCCGUAAACGAUGAGUGCUAAGUGUUAGGGGGUUUCCGCCCCUUAGUGCUGCAGCUAACGCAUUAAGCACUCCGCCUGGGGAGUACGGUCGCAAGACUGAAACUCAAAGGAAUUGACGGGGGCCCGCACAAGCGGUGGAGCAUGUGGUUUAAUUCGAAGCAACGCGAAGAACCUUACCAGGUCUUGACAUCCUCUGACAAUCCUAGAGAUAGGACGUCCCCUUCGGGGGCAGAGUGACAGGUGGUGCAUGGUUGUCGUCAGCUCGUGUCGUGAGAUGUUGGGUUAAGUCCCGCAACGAGCGCAACCCUUGAUCUUAGUUGCCAGCAUUCAGUUGGGCACUCUAAGGUGACUGCCGGUGACAAACCGGAGGAAAGGGGGGGAUGACGUCAAAUCAUCAUGCCCCUUAUGACCUGGGCUACCACGUGCUUCAAUGGACAGAACAAAAGGGAGCGGAAACCCCGAGGGUUAGCCAAUCCCACAAAUUUGUUCCUAGUUCGGAUCCAAUCUUGGAAUUCAAUCCGUGGAAGCGGAAACCCUUGUAAUCCGGA
rnacentral:rRNA from 1 species